rnacentral:lncRNA from 1 species
AUAUAUAUAUAUAUAUAUAUAUAUGGGGUUUGUUAACACGCGUACACCUGUUUUUCAGUUGGUACGUUUUAACACUGUGUACCGGAUUAUAAUAGACAAAAAUAUCCUCAUUUUAUCAUGGAUUCUAAGUUUUAAGGUCAAUGCCAUUUAAAUAAUUUUCAUUCUCAACUAAAAAAAAGAAACUCCGAAACUCUUACUCACCUCCCUCAUUCCUCUGAACCCUUUCUCUUUCAU